GAUGAAGAACGUAGCGAAAUGCGAUAAGUAAUGUGAAUUGCAGAAUUCAGUGAAUCAUCGAAUCUUUGAACGCACAUUGCGCCCAUUAGCAUUCUAGUGGGCAUGCCUGUUCGAGCGUCAUUUCACCACUCAAGCCUGGCUUGGUGUUGGGCGACGUCCCCUUUGGGGACGCGCCUCGAAACGCUCGGCGGCGUGGCACCGGCUUUAAGCGUAGCAGAAUCUUUCGCUUUGGAAGUCGGGGCCCCGUCUGCCGGAAGACCUACUCGCAAGGUUGACCUCGGAUCAGGCAGGGAUACCCGCUGAACUUAAGCAUAUCAAUAAGCGGAGGA
rnacentral:misc_RNA from 1 species